UAACAGGCCUGGCUGGCACUCCCCUUCCCAACCUCAGGUCUGUAAUCAGCCCCACACAGAAGGGAAUGCUGCCAAAAAUAGUUGGGCCUUUCCACUUCUCUUCUCUGCUUCUACUCUGCUUUUUCCCUGAUGGAUCUUGAGGAGGAAGGCUGGUUGUCAAAGGAUGGUGUCGAUAUCCAGAUCAGGUGUGAGAGCUGGAGGCAUGAGCCCACAAAGGAAGAUACUGAACUAACAAAAGGCUGGUGUCAGCUGAAGGUGUUAUAUAACCAGCAAAAGGUCCAUCCUUUCUGCAGGAGGGUUGCGCAAGCUCUUUACGUUUUCAAAAAGAUCCUGCCAAGUUGAAGCAUUUUACUGCUGAACAGAGUGUGAUCUUGAAAGCACCCUGAACAAGAUCCACAGAGAAGUCCCUUGAGAAAAACAUCAUACUGGAAAGUAAAAUCCGUGCAGCCUCAGGAUCAGGAGGAGGCUUGAUUCUUGCUCAUGUGAACUGCAUAGACAUUCUCCUGAGGAUGUUACAACAGAAUCAAACUAUGUUACCCUUUAAACAAAAUCUCUAGAGAAGCUGUUAGUGGUUCUGAUAUGGAAUGGAACCUGUAUCUUUUCAUCCAUGGAACAGGUGGAGAUAGUGGAGUGGGGGGGGGGGGCAGAGUCUGGAGAAACACAAUUGGAGAAAAGGAUUAAACCCUUUCUCCCCCAGUGCCAUAGCCACAGUCCAAAUCAGGGGCUCAAUUUACCAUGUGGCAGUUUCUUGCACAGAGCAGGGGGUUGGAUUAGAAGACCAUCAGCAGUUCCUUCCAGCUCUAACAUCCUAUGAUUUUUGCUUUUAAAAAAUUGCAGGAGAUCCAGUCAUGGAUCUCUUGCCAUCUCAUCUAAUCCGACCUUUAUUUAAUUCAACAUUAGUAUAUAGAAGAUUUAGUGAAACUCAUUUGGAAAUAAUGGUUGGGCUGACAUCCUGACUAUAUUUAUCAGAGGAAGUCCUACUGAAAUUUAGUAGUUCUUUAGAGUAAUUCCUGAGUAGUACUUAUUGAGUAAUGGAUCAGGAUGUUGCCAAUAUUUUGUCUAGAAGAAAUCAGACAGUGAAGAUUUUCACCCAUUACUUCUUAUCUUUUGUGCUGGUCGUCGACCGAAAUAAAGAUUUGAUUUGAUUUGA